AGCGAACGCUGGCGGCAGGCCUAACACAUGCAAGUCGAACGGAUCCUUCGGGAUUAGUGGCGGACGGGUGAGUAACACGUGGGGACGUGCCCUUUGGUUCGGAACAACUCAGGGAAACUUGAGCUAAUACCGGAUGUGCCCUUCGGGGGAAAGAUUUAUCGCCAUUGGAGCGGCCCGCGUCUGAUUAGCUAGUUGGUGAGGUAACGGCCCACCAAGGCGACGAUCAGUAGCUGGUCUGAGAGGAUGAUCAGCCACACUGGGACUGAGACACGGCCCAGACUCCUACGGGAAGCAGCAGUGGGGAAUCUUGCGCAAUGGGCGAAAGCCUGACGCAGCCAUGCCGCGUGAAUGAUGAAGGUCUUAGGAUUGUAAAAUUCUUUCAGCGGGGACGAUAAUGACGGUACCCGCAGAAGAAGCUCCGGCUAACUUCGUG
rnacentral:rRNA from 1 species